GACGAACGCUGGCGGCGUGCUUAACACAUGCAAGUCGAACGGAAAGGCCCUGCUUGCAGGGUACUCGAGUGGCGAACGGGUGAGUAACACGUGGGUGAUCUGCCCUGCACUUCGGGAUAAGCCUGGGAAACUGGGUCUAGUACCGGAUAGGAGCCAUUUUUAGUGUGAUGGUUGGAAAGUUUUUUCGGUGUAGGAUGAGCUCGCGGCCUAUCAGCUUGUUGGUGGGGUAAUAGCCUACCAAGGCGGCGACGGGUAGCCGGCCUGAGAGGGUGGACGGCCACAUUGGGACUGAGAUACGGCCCAGACUCCUACGGGAGGCAGCAGUGGGGAAUAUUGCACAAUGGGCGCAAGCCUGAUGCAGCGACGCCGCGUGGGGGAUGACGGCCUUCGGGUUGUAAACUCCUUUCGCUAGGGACGAAGCUUUUUGUGACGGUACCUAGAUAAGAAGCACCGGCUAACUACGUG
rnacentral:rRNA from 1 species